rnacentral:rRNA from 1 species
UGGAAGUAAAAAUCGUAACAAGGUCUCCGUUGGUGAACCAGCGGAGGGAUCAUUGCUGGAACGCGCCCUAGGCGCACCCAGAAACCCUUUGUGAACUUAUACCUUACUGUUGCCUCGGCGCAUGCUGGCCCCCUCGGGGCCCCCUGGAGACAGGGAGCAGGCACGCCGGCGGCCAAGUUAACUCUUGUUUUUACACUGAAACUCUGAGAAAAAACACAAAUGAAUCAAAACUUUCAACAACGGAUCUCUUGGUUCUGGCAUCGAUGAAGAACGCAGCGAAAUGCGAUAAGUAAUGUGAAUUGCAGAAUUCAGUGAAUCAUCGAAUCUUUGAACGCACAUUGCGCCCUCUGGUAUUCCGGAGGGCAUGCCUGUUCGAGCGUCAUUUCAACCCUCAAGCAUUGCUUGGUGUUGGGGCACUGCUUUUAACGAAGCAGGCCCUGAAAUCUAGUGGCGAGCUCGCCAGGACCCCGAGCGCAGUAGUUAAACCCUCGCUUUGGAAGGCCCUGGCGGUGCCCUGCCGUUAAACCCCCAACUUCUGAAAAUU